rnacentral:rRNA from 1 species
CCUACGGGAGGCAGCAGUAGGGAAUCUUCCGCAAUGGACGAAAGUCUGACGGAGCAACGCCGCGUGAACGAUGAAGGCCUUCGGGUCGUAAAGUUCUGUUGUUAGGGAAGAACAAGUGCUAGUUGAAUAAGCUGGCACCUUGACGGUACCUAACCAGAAAGCCACGGCUAACUACGUGCCAGCAGCCGCGGUAAUACGUAGGUGGCAAGCGUUGUCCGGAAUUAUUGGGCGUAAAACGCGCGCAGGCGGUUUCUUAAGUCUGAUGUGAAAGCCCCCGGCUCAACCGGGGAGGGUCAUUGGAAACUGGGAAACUUGAGUGCAGAAGAGGAAAGUGGAAUUCCAAGUGUAGCGGUGAAAUGCGUAGAGAUUUGGAGGAACACCAGUGGCGAAGGCGACUUUCUGGUCUGUAACUGACGCUGAGGCGCGAAAGCGUGGGGAGCAAACAGGAUUAGAUACCCUGGUAGUCCACGCUGUAAACGAUGAGUGCUAAGUGUUAGAGGGUUUCCGCCCUUUAGUGCUGAAGUUAACGCAUUAAGCACUCCGCCUGGGGAUACGGUCGCAAGACUGAAACUCAAAAGGAUUGACGG